ensembl:lncRNA SATB1-AS1 SATB1 antisense RNA 1
GGGAGCUUAGAUGUGGAAGCUCUUUGGAAACCAAGAAACACUCUGAAAAUGAAAAGGGUGGAAGAGUAAACUGUUCCUGUUUCUCCAUCUUGACAGGAAGCAGAAGUUCUCCUUAGCUGAUUUUUCUUCUUGCCUUAUACUGGGUUCUUUAACACCAGAACAAAAAUAAAUAAAUAAAAGAAUCUUCCAGAAAUUCAUGAAGAGACUUCAGGUCAGGAAAGCCUGAACUUUCUCAUCCAACACCCGUUCAAGUCGGAGGAUGCUGAUUAAUUCAUGAUGGAAAGGUAUCAAUUUCACAGCCCAGACCUCUACAUUCUUGAAAUGCUCUUCUCAUGGGAGACAUUAAAUAAGCUUUGAAUUAACUGUAAGUAAAUAAAUAUUCAAUUAUUUGAAUAGCACUAUAUUCUGUUUCAUUAAAAAUAUUUCUUACUUGAUUUUUCUCACCAAUAAAAGUAUUCAAAAAUGUUUAAUUCAAUCAUCAUCACAUCAAGAAUUACGAUAUUAUCUCCGAAUUAUAUAAGUGAUUUUCUGGUCAUGCACAUACCAGUUGUUCUUACUCUAUAUAAAUGUACUUUUUUGUUAAAAUAUAAUCAUUUAGUUUAAAAUUGAGAUAUCCUUGUUACUGGAGAAUUUCAAAUAUAUUUAACAACAACAAUAAAAAGCUUAAAUAUAAAUA